rnacentral:rRNA from 1 species
UACGGAGGGUGCAAGCGUUGUCCGGAUUUAUUGGGUUUAAAGCGCACGUAGGCGGUUUGUUAAGUCGGAUGUGAAAUCCCUCGGCUCAACUGAGGAAGUGCAUCCGAAACUGGCAGGCUUGAGUACUAAAGAGGGUCGCGGAAUUCCCGGUGUAGAGGUGAAAUUCGUAGAUAUCGGGAGGAACACCGGUGGCGAAGGCGGCGACCUGGGUAGAUACUGACGCUGAGGUGCGAAAGCGUGGGGAGCAAACAGG